GCUCGUAGUCGGAUUUCGGGGCGGGCCGAGCGGUCUGCCGAUGGGUAUGCACUGUUCGGCGCGUCCUUCUUUCCGGAGACCGCGCCUACUCUUAGCUGAGCGGGCGCGGGAGACGGAUCGUUUACUUUGAAAAAAUCAGAGUGUUUCAAGCAGGCAGCUCGCUCUUGCAUGGAUUAGCAUGGGAUAAUGAAAUAGGACUCUGGUGCUAUUUUGUUGGUUUCGAACACCGGAGUAAUGAUUAACAGGGACAGUCAGGGGCACUCGUAUUCCGUCGAGAGAGGUGAAAUUCUCAGACCAAUGGAAGACGAACCACUGCGAAAGCAUUUGCCAGGGAUGUUUUCACUGAUCAAGAACGAAAGUUAGGGGAUCGAAGACGAUCAGAUACCGUCGUAGUCUUAACCAUAAACCAUGCCGACUAGGGAUUGGAGGGUGUUCUAUUUGACCUCUUCAGCACCUUACGGGAAACUAAAGUCUUUGGGUUCCGGGGGGAGUAUGGUCGCAAGGCUGAAACUUAAAGGAAUUGACGGAAGGGCACCACCAGGAGUGGAGCCUGCGGCUUAAUUUGACUCAACACGGGGAAACUUACCAGGUCCAGACAUUGUUAGGAUUGACAGAUUGAGAGCUCUUUCUUGAUUCGAUGGGUGGUGGUGCAUGGCCGUUCUUAGUUGGUGGAGUGAUUUGUCUGGUUA
rnacentral:rRNA from 1 species